rnacentral:lncRNA from 1 species
GCUUUCUUUUGGCCGUUGGCUGGGUCUUCCAAGCUUCCGGGACAGCGUCAAGGAGGCGUGGCCGCUGUCUUGAGGACAAGUCCUCGAUGUGCCCUCUGACGCUGGCACGAGCGUGUUCUGGACCCGUGCCGUGCCCCCAGGCAGCUGGGGAGUUGUCUGCCGUGUAGUCCGGCGGCCACCAGGAGAAUCUGACCCAGUGUCCUGGAUGGGCCAGUUCCCAGUCGUGCGCUCGUGGCCCAGACCAGACCCGGGCUGGUGUGUGGAGCCAGCCACGCGGGCCCGUCUGUCCUCCGUGCCCUGAGUGGGCGCAGAUGAGAGAGGGCGCGGUUGCUCCGUCCGCUUUUCUCCCCUCUCGCCCCCGUGCGGGGAGCCGUCCAGCGGGGCCUGGCUGGACUGAGCCCGUGCCGGACACGGUGCUCAGUUGCCGUCCUGGAGGGCCCAGAGGAUUGCUCGAGGUGUGCCCACCAGGCCCCUCCCCUGAGACAGGGGGCUGGCUGGGUGCCGUCAGGCUCUUUCUUGGCUCCCCCUGGAACCCGGAGGUGGCCCUUGCCUGGUUCCUGGAUCCUUUCACUUCCCCUUCCUCGUCGCCUUGCCGUGUGGAAGGGAAGGGCCGCUCUUAGCCCGCCAGCCCUGGCCAAGGAGGGGAACCCACUUGGAGGGUGGGGUGGCACCAAGGCCUUGCGCGGCCCAACGCACAAGGGGGGAUGGCGGGCCCUCGCCCUGGCCCCGGUGCCACCAGUUUCCCUUGGUCGGGAUUCUUUGUGGCCUAGGCAGGCAGGCGCCCAUGCUGUCUCCGCACUGACCUAGGCACCCACCCACAUGAGGCGUCGGGAGGUGUGGGGCCGGGAGAACAUUUCUCUGCCUGGUUUCCUAGGCGGAGGCAGGUGUGUUGUCGGCAAAGACCCUCACUCAGGCCAAGUGUGUGAUGUCUCUUCUUCUUCCGCAGACGCCGAGCCCGGCACCCGGGAACCUGUUCCGGACGUGCCGCUCCCAACCAUGACUCCCAGCACCGAGGCUGACCACGACCACGACCACGACCACGACCACGACCACGACGCCGAGCCCGGCACCCGGGAACCUGUUCCGGACGUGCCGCUCCCAACCAUGACUCCCAGCACCAAGGCUGACCACGACCACGACCACGACCACGACGCCGAGCCCGGCACCCGGGAACCUGUUCCGGACGUGCCGCUCCCAACCAUGACUCCCAGCACCGAGGAGGCUGACCACGACCACGACCACGACCACGACCCCGACCCCGAGCACGACCACGACCACGACCACGACCACGACCACGACCACGGUAGGGGCCCGUGUGCCUUGUGUCCUCUGCCCCUGGGAGCCCGCUGGGUUGCCGGGGCUCCUUGAGCGAGAACGGGCUUUCCUAUUGCCUCCGGGACCGGGAAGGUGUCGCCAUGCGAUUCCUUGUCCCGAAACGCUGGCCUGUGCUCUGGAGCUGCGGGGACGUCCUCGGGGCUCUGCCCGGGAAGGAUGUGCUCUCUGGGGAGAGAGGGGCCGCGGUGCGAGUCAGGCGCUCCGAGACGGGGCCGUGUGUCCUCCCGGGUGCUCUGGUUGGCUGCACGCUGCCUGGGCCUGUCCGCAGGUUGUCCGUUUCUCUGCGUGGUGGUCUGCUGACCCGUGCGGGAGGGGCGUAGGCUUCUCGCCCUCCACGUCUGCUCCCGCCAUGACCACCCGGGGGUCUGGUGCAGCACUCCCAGCCGCAUGCCUGG